CCUACGGGUGGCAGCAGUGAGGAAUAUUGCUCAAUGGGCGCAAGCCUGAACCAGCCAUGCCGCGUGCAGGAAGACGGCUCUAUGAGUUGUAAACUGCUUUUGUACGGGAGUAAACGCAGGUACGCGUAUCUGUCUGCAAGUACUGUAUGAAUAAGGAUCGGCUAACUCCGUGCCAGCAGCCGCGGUAAUACGGAGGAUUCGAGCGUUAUCCGGAUUUAUUGGGUUUAAAGGGAGCGUAGGUGGUCGGAUAAGUUAGAGGUGAAAUCCCGAGGCUCAACCUUGGAAUUGCCUGUGAUACUGGUCGACUAGAGUGCAGUUGAGGUAGGCGGAAUUCAUGGUGUAGCGGUGAAAUGCUUAGAUAUCAGGAAGAACACCGAUUGCGAAGGCAGCUUACUAAGCUACUACUGACGUUGAGGCUCGAAAGCGUGGGGAGCAAACAGGAUUAGAUACCCGAGUAGUC
rnacentral:rRNA from 1 species